UGGGGAAUUUUGGACAAUGGGGGAAACCCUGAUCCAGCCAUCCCGCGUGUGCGAUGAAGGCCUUCGGGUUGUAAAGCACUUUUGGCAGGAAAGAAACGUCAUGGGUUAAUACCCCGUGAAACUGACGGUACCUGCAGAAUAAGCACCGGCUAACUACGUGCCAGCAGCCGCGGUAAUACGUAGGGUGCAAGCGUUAAUCGGAAUUACUGGGCGUAAAGCGUGCGCAGGCGGUUCGGAAAGAAAGAUGUGAAAUCCCAGAGCUCAACUUUGGAACUGCAUUUUUAACUACCGUGCUAGAUUGUGUCAGAGGGAGGUGGAAUUCCGCGUGUAGCAGUGAAAUGCGUAGAUAUGCGGAGGAACACCGAUGGCGAAGGCAGCCUCCUGGGAUAACACUGACGCUCAUGCACGAAAGCGUGGGGAGCAAACAGG
rnacentral:rRNA from 1 species